ACUGCGUCGUCACCUUCUCUGCCCACUCUAAAGGGAAUGAAAUAAAUCCUCGGAGCCGAAAGUUAAGGAUUUCCUGUAAAGGAGAAACCUUGCGGCCAACUGAGGCGAUAUCUUGGGGGAAUCUUCUUCCUCUGUGAGCUAGGGUUUCGACGUGAGGGGGCAGUUCCCUUCUACCGCCCCUUCUCUUUUGUUGAUUUGACAAAGAGGGAUCAUAUUGCUUAUUUCCCCCCUUCAAGCUGUAGAGAUGGAUUAGCUGAGGCGGCCCGUAAAUCGAUUUUUCGGCGAUUUGAGGGGGUAUAGAUCGUUUUAGCUAAAAAAAGUCGUUUUUUAGCUGGAAAAAAAUGGUUCGGAGACCUGAACUGAGGGGUCCCGAUGGAGUUUCGAUCGUUCGCGCCGAGAGAGCUGUGGAUGCAGCAUUACAGCACCUCGGAUUUGCCUUUUCUGGGAUCUGAAAGGAAAUUGGUUCGGUUUGGAUCUCCGAGCAAGCUCACAUGGAUGAUUUCACGCCCACGAAUUAUGGGGCGAGCGGGAGUCCGAGUCAAGACGAUCCAUUUUCCCUGGCGGAGCUCAUGAAUUUUGAUGGUUUUGCUGAAUCCUGCAGUCCUACGAUGGUAGACCAGAUUUCUAAUUUAAGCUUUAUAGCUGCUUAUCAAAUACCUGGUUUUUCAUCUUCAUUGGCACCACUGAGUGUUUCAGCAGAAGGUACGGAUUCCGUUCCUGGAGAUAAUAGGGUCUCAACUGGUAAUUAUUAUAACUGCAUCGAAAAGACGGCUUUGCAAAGAGCUGGUUCACAAAUGGGGCUUCCGUCGACUUCCUCCAGAACUAAUAUUACUAGUAGGAGUGCUAGUUAUUCCGCCUUUGAUGGCCUGUCUGAUGAUGCGAUCUUGACUAUUCCUAGACCUUUUGAAGGGGUGUCUCUUCCAGAAAGAAUGCUUAAGGCACUGUCCUUGCUAAAGGAAUCGUCAUGUAGUGGAAUACUUGCCCAGGUUUGGAGGCCCAUUAAACAGGGUGACCAGUAUAUUUUAAGUACCUCUGAACAGCCAUUUCUCCUUGACGAAAUUCUUGCUGGGUACCGUGAAGUUUCAAGGCAGUUUACCUUUUCUGCUAAGGAAGCACCUGGUUUGUUUACUGGGCUCCCCGGGCGUGUAUAUAUCUCCGGAAUGCCAGAGUGGACCUCGAAUGUUAUCUAUUACAGAAAGUUCGAGUAUUUGAGAGUGGACUAUGCAAUCAGUCAUGAAGUCCGUGGAUCUCUUGCGGUGCCUGUUUUUGAUCCUUAUGAAGGUUCUUGUCUUGCUGUGCUUGAGCUUGUUACAACAAGGGAGAGACCCAACUUCGACGCAGAGAUGGAAACUGUUUGCAAUGCUUUGCAGGCUGUAAACUUGAAGACCACAAAAGUGCAGGUUCAUCAUCAGAACCUCACGAAGAGUCAGAUUUCUGCAUUUUCGGAGAUACUUGAUGUUUUGAGAACUGUUUGUCAUGCACACAUGUUACCUCUGGCACUUACAUGGGUACCUGUUUGGUAUGAUGAUGGAGGUGUAAAUGACUUGAGCAAUGAUAACAUUGGGGGGAUGAAGCCAACUUCAAGAAGGCUUGCCCUUCGCAUUCAAGAAUCAGCUUGCUAUGUUAAUGAUAUGCAGAUGCAAGAUUUUCUUCAUGCAUGCGCUGAACAUCGCCUUGAGAAGGGACAAGGCAUUGCUGGAAAGGCACUUCAAUCCAAUCAUCCAUUCUUCUCCCCUGAUGUAAAAGUAUAUGAUAUACGUGAAUAUCCACUUGCACACCAUGCUCGUAAGUUCGACCUUCGUGCUGCAGUUGCAAUCAGGUUGAGGAGCACAUACACUGGAAAUGAUGAUUACAUACUAGAAUUCUUUCUACCAGUCAACUGUGGAGGCAACAUAGAACAACAGCUAUUAUUAAAUAGCCUCUCAAAUACCAUGCAGAGAAUUUGUAGGAGCUUGAGAACUGUCUCAGAUGCUGCAGCAGCUGGGGCAGAGAUCACCAGAAUAGGUAAUCAUAAAGGAGCAGAUGUAGGUGCCUUGUCGACUAAUUUUUCAAUGACGUGCUCUCAACUAUCAGAUUACGACAAUGAAACGGCUACUGAGAUGCAUCUUGGAACUCAGGAGAUUGGAUCCAAUGAACAAAAUGGAGAUGCCCAUCUUGAGCAGUUAUCAUCUAGCUCAAUAAAACAAAUGGAGAAAAAACGCAGUACAGCUGAGAAAAAUAUUAAUUUUAGUGUUCUUCAACGAUACUUUUCUGGGAGUCUCAAGGAUGCUGCAAAAAGUAUUGGUGUUUGUCCGACAACAUUGAAAAGGAUAUGUAGACAGCAUGGAAUUUCAAGAUGGCCAUCUCGCAAGAUAAAUAAGGUCAAUCGUUCAUUGCAGAAAAUCCAAAAUGUUAUAAAUUCUGUCCAAGGAGUUGAAGGGGCUCUAAAGUAUGAUCCUUCUACUGGGUGCCUUGUUGCAGCAGUCUCCUCACCGGAAAAACCAUCAUUAAUAACCUUUGAGCCAAAAGGUCAAGAUCUUAUGACUGCCCCUUCUGCUCACCAUAUUGAGACAGAACAGCCUGUUGGUAAGAUGGUGCCAGAUUUCUAUUUCCUUGGCAGACACCAAAGAGGGACCACACACCGAUCCAAAUGUGAAACAGAUGAAGUUGGUAUGCUUUCAAAUGAUUGUAGCAGACAGUUGAACUUUAUUUGUGCAGAUGGAGGGCAGUUGUCAUAUGCUACAAUGCAAGGUGCACCAAAAUGGCCAUCAUAUUCUAAAGAUGUAUCUGACAGUUCAUAUAUUUCAAAAGAAGCAGGUUGCCAAGGUGGCCAAGAUGGCUUAAGUUUGGCAAGCCUUGAGUGUCAGGUUACAUCAAGAAGCUCAAGUUUAGAAGAAUUGGAUAAAAUGAUGAUGAAAGCAGAAGCUGAUGAUGGAAUCAUGGAACACAGCCAUCGUUCUUCUUCUGGUAUGACGGACUCUUCUAGUGGAAGUGCAUCAAGUCAUCCUAGUUUCAAGAUAAGUAAGAUGUUAAUCUCACAAAAUGGCCCAUCUGUUACAGUAAAGGCUACCUACAAAGAUGACACUGUUAGAUUCAAGUUCAUGCCAUCCAUGGGUAUCCACAACUUGUUUGAGGAAAUUGGAAAGAGAUUCAAAUUGCUGGUAGGAACAUUCCAGCUCAAGUAUAGGGAUGAUGAAGAAGAGUGGGUAAUGUUGGAGAAUGACUCUGAUCUGCAGGAGUGUGUUGAUGUAUUAGAGAAUAUUGGAUUGCAGAAAAUGAAGCUUCAAGUACGAGAUAUCCCUUGUAAUGUUGGUAGCUCGGCCAGUAGUAACUGCCUUAAGCCUUGAAGCCUUGAGAGGAGUCUUGUUUCAAGGUGCUUCAACUGACUACUAUGGUUGAGGAAUUUGCAAAGAAUUUUCUCUCUGCAGGUUUUUUAUUAGACUUCUUUUUGGAGCUCAGGCAAUUUGAUCAGGAUUCAGGAACAGUAGGAACUCCCAAUGCUGGCAAAUUAUCAGAAGAGUCAAAUUCGAUAUCUGAGCCAGAAGUCUAGGGUGGAUGCAGUUCUUGAUGAUUCCCAGGUUUGGCGUGGCACCAUAAGGAUCUUAUGUUUCCAUUGAGUCUAUCCAGGUGAGGCCGGAUCAGUAGCACUGAUUUGAAAUCAAGUGGUCAAAAACUAAGAGCUUUAGUAAACAAUAGAUCGCGGGAGAUGCACAACAGAAGAUGAUCUUGGCAUUGUGGAAACAACCUCUGUACAAUCAGGGUGAAUUCGAUGGGCUCGCUUUUGGUCGGCUACUAAUAGUGCUUGAUUGAGCAGGAGUUUGUGCUCUUACAUGGUUAAUCAUUUUCAGAAAUGAAGAUGAAGAAAUUCAAAGCAGGUGGAUGCAACGAGUCCAUGCAAGUUGGCAUGUGAGCUGCAAUAAUGUAUGCAGCCUGGACUGCUUGGAUGUGCAGAAGAAAGGGGUAAAGCCAGGAAACACUGCUCUUUUUGACCAGUCUCAAGCUUCGCCUUCUGCAUGGGUUGCUGCCUUCCCUGCUUCCGGUAAUGCAUUUUCUUGUGUGGCUUUUGGCUCAGUUAAAAAAAUUAUAUAUAUAACAAGUUUGUAUUCGUCAAGAUGAGAAUAUUAAGUGGAUGUGAAGAAUUAUUAGGAACAACUAGGCGUAGCAGAUAAAAUGAGGAAAGGUAAUUUAGGAUGGUAUGAGCAUAGGUGAUAGAAGGAGAGAUAGAGGAAGAGCUAAAUAAAUUUACAUAAAUAUGUAAUUACUUUAUAGAGUUCAAUUGUAAAAGAUUACAAUUUGUGUUAUCAGCUAUUAAGAAUCUCUUUCGCUUGAAGCAGAAGAUUUUACUUAACAAGCACAUGACAAGGAGAUAGAGAGAGAUCUAAAAAUAUUCAACAUAAGGAUUUCAGUACUCUUAAUUUGAUUAGGGAUAUGAAUAUUUAUAGAGUUCAAUGGUAGUUAAUCAGAAUUUAACUUGAAGCAAAGAUAAAUGUUUGUGUUCUUAUUUGUGUAGAUCACAAAGGCAGCUUAUAAAACUAGAGAUAGCAGGUUCUCCUACAUGCAAAUGAACAGUUACAGAGGUGACGGAGAUGAUGAUACAAACAGAAGCAACAAAAAAAUGUCUAAUAUUCUUCUUUUUGUCUUAGGGAAAAAUGGUGGUAGAAGAGAGGUCUCAAAACCUCUCCAAAGUUUGGCACAUCCUUCCUAGUCCAAAUUCCUAUAUGGUAUGGUGGCCAUGCAUUAUUAUUACAGUGUGUGCAAGACCAACUUAGGAAGUACCCUGCAAUAUGACUCAGAAUAUCUGCAAUGAGAAUAUGAUGUCACUGGAUGUAAGAUCACAGCUUGUGAAUCAACAAAGGAUCUUGCAUUGUUGAUCUCUGUAUCCUUGUUUUAACCAGUACCAUGAAUUGUAUGUUAUACUGGCUUGUCCUUAGCUGCUACUGUGUCCAAGUGCAAGUCUACAAUUAUCUGUUCCACCUUAAAUCUUUUCCUAAUCCCAUUUCAAGCAUCCUGGAGUUCAUCAACAUCAUCAUCAAACUCAUAAAUGUUAGAAGACUCCAAGAUUCAUGACCAAAGUUUUAUUGGAGAGAGAAACUAUUGAGAAUACAAAAAUUUUUAGAUGCAAUGACAUUGAUGGUAUCUUCUCUUUGCCACACAUCUUUAAAGCAAAUAUGUAUUUGAUCAGUUCAGAUUUCAAUUCGAGUCAUUUAAACAUGAACCAGAUCCUGUGUUAUCAAUUGACAUGAGCUUUUAAUAUGGAUGUUGGGAUAAAGUUGAAAGUGAAAGGCAAAAGUAGACAUUUUUUUGAGGUUCAAGUGUCCAAAGGAAGAAAACAACAAAGGUUCUUUGAUGAAGUACAUUAACCAUAUUUAAGAUGUCUUGCAGUAACUGGUCUUCAUCAUUACACUUGAGAGAGAGAGAGAGAGAGAGAGAGAGAGAGAGUUUGAACUAU